AUUAAAAAAUCAUUCUUUAUCUCUACUGUUGAGUGUUUUUUUUCUUUUAAAAAUCAGAGUAAUAUCAAAGAAUGUUAGGAAAAAGGAAAAAAUUCAUUCCUAUUUCUACCAUGUUAACACAGUAGUAACUUUAAUAUCAUCUUCCCAUUUAGUCUCCAUAUUUGUAAUAUAUACCUUAAAAUAAUUGUAAUUAUGUAAUAGUCCUAAUUUUUUAUUCUGGUGUCUUAGUUUUAUGUUAUUUCAUAGAUAUUUUUCAUGCUUCUGUUAGAUCUACUAUAAUUUAUUUAGCUCUCUCCCUGUUUUUUGGUAUUUAGUUUAUUCCUAGUUUUUCAACAUUAUGGAUAAUAACACAGAGAAAAUUAUCUUUAUGGAUCUGUAAAAUGGAUGUAAUGAAAAUAUCAUAAGGUUGUCAUGAGGAUUAUAAAAGCGAAUAGGUACAGAACAGUUUCUUAGGCACAGAACUCUUACCAUUUGGGGCCAAAUAAAUCUUUGCUGUGGGAGCUGUCCUGUGCAGUGUCCAUGUUUCACAGCAUCCCUGGCCUCUAUCUGCCAGUUAUGAUAAACCAAAAUGUCUCCCGACAGUGUCACGUGUCUCCUAGGGCGCAAGAUAAUUCCCAGUUGAGACCUCCUGGUGUAAAGCACUUAGAACGGCCUGGCAUUGCUCUAGUGAGUGCUGCGCAAAUAUUUGCUGUUACUCUGAUUGCUCUUGGUAUCAUUCUUUGUUUCAGUUACUUAUUUCUGAUAAGUUCCUAGACAUAGAAUUUCUGAGACAAGGGGUUUAAUAUUAGGGUUUCUGACAUAUAUUACUAAAUGCUUUCUGGAAGGACUGUAUUAGUUUAAUGCCAUCAGUUGUAUAGAAAUAUGGCAGUCACUUUGGGAUCCAGCCAUUAUUCACUUGUGAAUCCCCAUAUUGUUUUAUUUUCAGUUUCUGUAAUUACUAGUCAACACGAGCAUUUUCUAUGUUUCUUUACUUGUAUUGCCCCAUCUGAAGGCUCUGGUAGUGGCUUUUGUUGAUUUAGCCCUCUCCCCAGCCUCCCAGCCCCAAGUCUCCCUCCCCCGAGUCUCCCUCCCCCCAGCCUCCCUCCCCCAAGUCUCCCUCCCCCAAGUCUCCCUUCCCCCCAAUCUCCUUCCCUUCAGCCUCCCUCCCCUCAGCCUCCUUCCCCCAGUCUCCCUCCCCCCAGCCUCCCUCACCUUUUUUUUGAGUUGCUUUACCUUCCACCACUUGAGGUUGAAAAAGUCAUACCCUCAAUAACCAAGUCUGUAUUAUAUUUCUUUGCUUGACCUUUGAUAGCAUCCAAGUUGUACAUUGUCAAGUUCCUUUCAGGUUAUUGUGUUUUACCCCUACAGUGCUUUGUGAUUUCAGAUUAAGACAUGAUAAUUGACAAUGUCCUAUAAUGUUAGAACUUGCAGGAUUUAAGUAUUAGGUGACAUCCUCUUUUUGGGAGGAUCAUUUUGUGGAGGAUUAGCUUUGUAUUCUGCGGUAUGUGUCGCCCCACUAAUGUGGUUGCCAUAGGUGUACCCUUUUGGAACUCAUCCCAGUCCUAGCUGUGGCAGAGGCUGUCGCCGCCCCACCCACCUGGGGCCUGGGGCCUUCCACCUGCUGGCACUUGCAUUCCUUUGCCUGAGGGCAUUCUCUGGCUGGAAGAGCUCACACCCAGGGCUGGCAGGAAGUACCAGCUGUCAGCAGCCAACAGCCAGUGACUGCUCUGGUAUAAAUCCCUUUUUGCAUCUCAGGUGAGCUACCUUUGAGACAAGCAUUUUACCCUGAGGUUCUCAGAGUUCCUACUUGGAUUAUGAUUCAGUGGUAACUUGCU